AAAUUGAAGAGUUUGAUCAUGGCUCAGAUUGAACGCUGGCGGCAGGCCUAACACAUGCAAGUCGAACGGUAACAGGAAGCAGCUUGCUGCUUUGCUGACGAGUGGCGGACGGGUGAGUAAUGUCUGGGAAACUGCCUGAUGGAGGGGGAUAACUACUGGAAACGGUGGCUAAUACCGCAUAACGUCGCAAGACCAAAGAGGGGGACCUUCGGGCCUCUUGCCAUCAGAUGUGCCCAGAUGGGAUUAGCUUGUUGGUGAGGUAACGGCUCACCAAGGCGACGAUCCCUAGCUGGUCUGAGAGGAUGACCAGCCACACUGGAACUGAGACACGGUUCAGACUCCUACGGGAGGCAGCAGUGGGGAAUAUUGCACAAUGGGCGCAAGCCUGAUGCAGCCAUGCCGCGUGUAUGAAGAAGGCCUUCGGGUUGUAAAGUACUUUCAGCGGGGAGGAAGGUGUUGUGGUUAAUAACC
rnacentral:rRNA from 2 species